GGGAGGAGCUUGUUGCGCCUACGCAGGUGGCAUUGAGCUAAGGCUCGAGAACGCAUGUGCACAGAGACUGGCGGAAAACGGAGUGGGAGAUUAACAGUGUUUAUUGGAUGCCCCCGCGCUAGUGAGUUUGGCCUGAAUACAGCUGAGAGCGAACCCGCGCGUGUGCACUGUGCGCGUGGACGUUUUCCCCGCUCCCUUCUUUGGCGGAGGGCGCCAUCUUGUCCUGAGGCUUUGUUUUGUUUUUUGGUACUGAGGUUGGAACCCAGGUUGCAAAACCACUGACCUACAUGCCCUGCUCUUUUUUGUGUUUUAUUUUGAGACAGAGUCUCGCUAAGUUGCUUAGUGUUUCGCCAAAUUGCUGAGGCUGGAUUUGAACUCGCGAUUUGAACAUCCUUUGGAGCCGCUGGGAUUACAGGCGUGCGUUGUGCGCCCGACUGGGGGCUUUGUUAAGUGCCAUGGUUUGUUCAUAAUUUGAAAUACACCUAGGUAUGGAGACCGUAGACAAAAUUUUUGCUGUGUUUUACCUCGGGAGUCUCGGGUUUCCAGCUCUAAAGCAGCGUUUCGUUCAGAGUUUUGGGUCGCCCCAAAACUAAUCAUCGUGCAAACGAUCAAGGAAAAAACUACUUGAGCUCAGGCUCUUCCCUUUUUGUUGUGCUGGCCGAAGGCCUCCUCUGUACCGUUUCAAACCUUGUGCUGGUUGUAAAAUGUCAGUUACUCCUUUGUGACAAGUUUCACAUUUUUUUUAAAAGGAAUUAAUUGAUUCCACAAACUGUGUGUCAGGCAUUUUUCUAGUUGGUGGGAAUACAGUAAAAGCAAAACGUGUUCGUUGAUGAGAGGACAGUGAGAUUGAACUUGAUUUUGGUGAUGAAGCCAUUUGUCUUUGAAGUCCUCUUUCAAAAGAGGAAAAUGCUUAAAGCCCCUACUUCCUUAAGGUAAAUAAGUACUGUAUUAUUAAGUGGUCAUCACUGUGAUGAAUUGUGAAGGAAAUGUGGAAAAAUUGGGAAGGAAAGAAGAUAACUGAAGAGUUUACAUUCUGAGGGGAAGAAAGUGAAAAAUAGAAAAGGUGCUGGGCUUCGUGGCUCACGCUUGUAAUCCCAAAGGUUUGGGAGGCUGAGACAGGAGGAUAGCUAGUUAAAAGCCAGCUUCAGCAACCCAGGAGCUAAGCAACUCAGUGAGACCCUGUCUCUAAAUAAAAUACAAAACAGGGCUGAGGAGGUAGCUUAGUGGUCGAGUACCCCUGGGUUCAAUCCCCAGUACCCUCACCCCCCAAAUAAAAAGUCAGAUAUAACGUUGGUCAUAGAUUAUGCAGGUUCUAAGAUUUUUUAAAAGCCUCCCACACCCUCUUUUCUAAGCAUUAACUAUUAUUAUCCUCACUAGUCUACUUAAAAACUCCCUUUCAAGAUUCAGAGAUAGGCUUUCCUAAGAUCAAAGCUAUAGGUUCAUGAACCGUAUUUGUAGAGAUUUACAUUUUAAAACAGAAUGCUAAUGAAGGGAAAAAAUACUAAACAGUGAAGUAAAAUAAAAACAACAUUACAUCUUUAUGUUGUAUAUGACAGAGAGGGAGAGACUGUUCUCAAUUCUCUGUGCAGUCAAGAGGCUAAGAAUUUGCUUUUCUUUUUGUUCCAUACACUUAAAAGCCUCAAAGUAUUAAUCAAAAGUAUCCUGGAAUCAAAUUGUGUUUUCUAAAGGGUGUCUGAGACCACGAUUGUGUGGGUAUGACUUUCCUGUGGUUUCUCCAGGCGUCUUGCAAAUAUUCUCCAUAACCACAAGGGGGAUGUGGUAGUGCUAGAUAUUCAAAGCAUGAACCUGAGAAUGAGGGCUUUUAAUAUUUGCCAGUAUAAAAGAUAGGCUUCUGCACUGCCUUGCAAAUUACCAUAGCCUACAGCCUGAAGGCUGGAAGAAAUGAAUCUGAUUCUAAGAAAACAUAAGGGUUCAAAUGAAUAAGAGCAGACAGAUCCUCAGCCAAGUAGUGUACAUCACAGAACUCUAAAUAGAGAUUGGCAUCUCACUGUUACUUUGGGAAAUGGAAGGAAGUGGUGCAUAAUUUGCAUGAGGGUAAAUGUUUACUAAACAGAACAAGUGGCUGUCCAAUACCUGUGCAUAGUAUAGUUUUUUGUUGUUGUUGUUGUUUUUAGUACAGGGGGUUGAACUCAGGGACACUUAACCACCAAGCUACAUCCCCAUCCCCAGCCUGAUUUUUUAAUUUUUUAUUUUGAGACAGGGUCUCACUAAGUUGCUCAGGGCCUCAUCAAGUUGCUUAUACUGGCCUUGAACUUGCAAUCCUCCUCCCUCAGCCUCCCCAGUCACUGGGAUUACAGGUGUGCAUCCCUGUGCCCAGCAUAUCAUUCUUUUUAAAAAAAUAUUUAUUUUUAAAUUGUAGGUGGAUACAAUAUCUUUAUUCUAUGUAUUUAUUUUUAUGUGGUGCUGAGGAUCAAACCCAGGGCCUUGCAUAUGCUAGGCGAGUGAUCUACCGCUGAGCUACAACCCCAGCCCCAUAUCAUACUUUUAAUAAUAUUCUGGGGCUACAGCCAUUAGUAGGAAUUUUCUCUAGAAUAGUAAUUAAUAGUAGCUGUUAAGUGUUUACUUAAGCUCCACAAACUGCUCUAGAUUCAUGUACAUUUUAUAGUGGAAUGUCAAAACAUGACCUAAGUAAAUGUUGUUGUGUUCUCAUUUUGCAAAUGUAGAAUUUGAAGCUUAAGAUUGAUUAAAUAUGUUACCUGGGGUCUUAUGGCAAUUGAAUGGUAAAGUUAGAAUCUGGGUCAGUCAGUCUGACUCCAGAAUCUACACUGCCAACAACCACUGUUCUGCUGCCUCAUAACCAAACAGGAUCUGAUGUUUCACCUCUACAUUUACAUUUACAAAAUCUGAGUUUUGUAAUACUGGCUUAAUCCAUUAUUAACAGCAGUUACUCUGACAAUGGAAUAAAAAGUUAGAAAUACUUUAAAUUUUUUAAAUGUAGUUUAAGGGGCUGCGGUUGUAGCUCAGUGAUAGAGCUUGCCUAACAUAUGUGAGGCACCAGGUUCGAUCCUUAGCACCAUGUAAAAAUAAAUACAUAAAAUAAAGGUAUUGUAUCCAUCUAAAACUAAAAAAUAUUUUUUUAAAAAAUGUAGUUUAGGUUCCAAAACAACCUUAAGGAAAAUUUGGGGCUAACCAAGUGUGAUAGCUCAUGCCUGUCUGAAAAAUAAAGUAAAAAGACAUGGGUAUAUAGCUCAGGGCCAGAGAGCCCCUGGGUUCAAUCUGUAGGACCCCUACUCCUACACACAUACAUAAAAGAAAAUUCCAGACUAGGGAUAUAGUUCAAUGGUAGAGGGCCUACCUAGCCAGUACAAGGCCCUGGGUUUGAUUCCCCAGUACUGUUCAAACAACAACAAAAAAAGGUUGGAAAAAAAUUAAUAUAACUCAUAGGAUCAAAUUUGUAUUUUUAAAGCAAAGUCUCUAAAUUGGUGUCUCGGGAGACAUUUUAUUCAGUCUCCUGAAAGAUGAAUGUCGUGUGAUAAUUUCCAACUUCCGAAAAUAAAAAUGAGGCAUGUAGGGGCUGGGAUUGUGGCUCAGUGGUAGAGUGCUUGCCUAGCAUGUGUGAGGCAUUGGAUUCGAUUCUCAGCACCGCAUACAAAUAAAUAAAUAAUAAAAACAUAAAGGUCC
rnacentral:lncRNA from 1 species